CGCGUAGGCGGCCUAGUAAGUCAGGUGUGAAAGCCCGGGGCUCAACCCCGGAAGUGCAUUUGAUACUGCUAGGCUUGAGUAUGGGAGAGGGAAGUGGAAUUCCUGGUGUAGAGGUGAAAUUCGUAGAUAUCAGGAGGAACACCGGUGGCGAAGGCGACUUCCUGGACCAAUACUGACGCUGAGGCGCGAAGGCGUGGGGAGCAAACA
rnacentral:rRNA from 1 species